UGGUUUUUUUUUUUUUGCGGUACGUGGGCCUCUCACUGUUUUGGCCUCUCACAUUGCGGAGCACAGGCUCCGGACACGCAGGCUCAGCGGCCAUGGCUCACGGGCCCAGCCGCUCUGCGGCAUGAGGGAUCUUCCCAGACCGGGGCACGAACCCGUGUCCCCUGCCUCGGCAGGCGGACUCUCAACCACUGCGCCACCAGGGAAGCCCGAACAGGUCACAGCGACCAGACAAUUAACCACGUUACUCUUCGGUGGAUCUUUACGGAUGUGGCAAUGACUACCUAUAUCCUGAGAUUCUUUGGAGACUCCUCACAAAGACUGAUGAAUGAUCCUUUUCCUCCUGUGUCUUCAUUCCCUUUCAAGGGACGAUGGGGUCCACUUCAGUUUGAUUUCCAAAUUUUGACACAUAAUAAUUAAAGCAUUACUGCAGGUUUGAAAUCAAGAGUUUGGAUUCUGAGUCCUCGGUCUGCUCUUUUGGCCUGGUAAAUGGCUCAUUCUUCUUUAUUUACAUGAAUAUAUUCUCUCUUCUGGUUGCCAAGACAUGUAGCCUUCAAUGCCCUUUCUGGUCUGAAUGUUUCCGUCCCCACAAAAUUCAUAUUUGGAAGUCCUAACCCCCAAAGUGAUGGUAUCAGGUGGCGGGCCCUUUGGGACUUGAUUAGGGUGUGAAGAUGGAGGCCUCACGAUGGAAUUAGUGCCCUUAUCAACGAGGUCAGAGAUAAAUGCCUCCCUCUCCUGCUGUAUGAUGAUACAAGGAGAACUCUGCAGUGUGAGACCUGAAGCAGGCUUUCACCAGAACUGGACCGUUUCUGUAUUGUAAAUAAGUUCAUUUGUAUCCUUUUUUUUAGAUUCCACAUAUAAAUGAUAUGUCUCUUUCUCUGUGGGUCAGAUUGUUUUUUAAUGAAGUGUGUGCAAGCAAGAACAUUACUUGUUCCCCUCCACCCCACCCAGAACUUCAUUAGGACAAAUAGUGUAAAGAUGAAAAGUGGUCUUAUGCACUGAACUUGUCUCCUCGUCUAUUAAUCAUCCAAUAAUUUCCCAACUUCUUUGCAGUGAGAUUUCCACGAGGAUAAAUCCAGGCCAUGUAAUGUGAGCAGAAGGGCUCUUGCCCUGUAUAGUCCUGGCCCUUGAAAACGUCCCAUGUGAUGCACCGGACUUUUUCCCUUUACCACUGAGUGGAAUAGACUCAAAUACUGCAGAAAAAUUUGCAGUCACCUGUUGAUGAUGGAAAAAUCCACAAAACAGGGGGUACCCAUGUCCCCGAAUCACUCUUUGGAGAGCAACUUAGAACAUCCAUCUGAUCAGGAAUGCCUGCCUUGUGUUCUUAUACCAGGGAAAGAUAAGAUUCUAUUAUGAUCAAAUUCCUGACAGCAUUCUCUUUACCCGUUACAGCAGUCAGCAUUAAGUUAACUGACAAAUAUCUUUAACACCACACUAUCCAAAAAACCUUUCUAUACUUCAUGUGUUGAAAAUAGCAAAUACCUCUCCCAAAACUUAAAGUGAUCUUUUAAAUUACGUUAUAAAAUUAUUUAUACAAGAAAA